ACACACCUCAUCGUUUUUGCCACGGUUUCCACUACUGUGGGCUACGGGAAAGUCUUUGGAUCCGGCACCAAACUCAUUGUCACAGAUACAGAAUCGAAGCCUCCUACGGUGACUACGUACAUUCCUUCAAAACCUCACGAAAAUAAGGCCUCCUUGCUGUGCGUGGCCACAGACAUGUAUCCAAAUGUGGUCAAAUUCAUAUGGGAGAAAAAGGACGGAAACGACUGGAAAAAUGUGCCAUCAAAUGAAAUGAGGACCCUGCAGCAGGAGGAGGAAAGUAGGGUCUCCAGCAUCAUGAUCAUCGACAAUGAGAAGGCCGAGCGGGAUACCUACUCCUGUAAGGUGCAACACGAGAAGGAUCCUAAUCCCAGCAGAGGAAAAAGAGUGCCAAAAAAAAGUGAUCUCAUUACCCCCAAUGACCCCAAUGUCCCCAAACCUUCCUGUGUGCCCAAGCUGAGUACACCUCCGAGCAACACAUCAGAUGAGAUCCGUUCCUUCAAGAACCCGAAUGAGCUGACCAACCUGAACAUGGUGACAUUCUCCUACUCCGUGAUGAUCCUCAAGAGCAUGAUGUACUUCGGCGUGGUGUCCAUGAUCAUGUACAAGAGGUCGGGCAGGUCGCUCUGCUGAAGAAAGGAGCCCGGCUCUUCACUCAUCAUCUCCUCGCACCUUAUUGUCAACGCAGGAGAACAGCACAUGCAUGGAGAACAUGUAAUAGCGAACACAGUGUUUUAUAGUAGCUCAUAAUUCUAAACCUCUGAUUGUACUUAUAGAUUUUUACAUUUUUUAUUGUUGCUAAAAGUAAACUGAGUGUUUUCAUGUCUGUGAAGUGAUAUACUGUACGUUUCACGAAAGUAUAUAAUUAUUAUUAUAACUGUAUAAUUCUUAUAAUUAUAUCAGCAGUUCUUAUAAUUAAGACAGUCAUCGUUAUAAUGAACACUGAUUUUUGUUUCCUUCGACUCUCACCGUUUUUGUACAUGAAUUCAUAUUAAUAUGAUAUUACGGCUGUAAUAAGGAGAAAAUUUCCAGAAGAAAAUAUUGUUUGGAUUUCUAUAGCGCUGUGAUUUAAUUGUCCUUUGUUGUUUGUACAUUAUUAUACCUGUCGUGUACCUUUCAGACUCCAUCAGUGGAAAUGUCUGUUUUAAAAGAAAUUAAAAGCGGUGGUUGCAAAA